GUCCUCUUCGUCUAGUGGCCUAGGACUCCAGGUUUUCAUCCUGGCAACAGGGGUUCAAUUCCCCUAGAGGAUGUCA
rnacentral:tRNA from 2 species